rnacentral:rRNA from 1 species
UUAAGCGACUAAGCGUACACGGUGGAUGCCCUGGCAGUCAGAGGCGAUGAAGGACGUGCUAAUCUGCGAUAAGCGUCGGUAAGGUGAUAUGAACCGUUAUAACCGGCGAUUUCCGAAUGGGGAAACCCAGUGUGAUUCGUCACACUAUCAUUAACUGAAUCCAUAGGUUAAUGAGGCGAACCGGGGGAACUGAAACAUCUAAGUACCCCGAGGAAAAGAAAUCAACCGAGAUUCCCCCAGUAGCGGCGAGCGAACGGGGAGGAGCCCAGAGCCUGAAUCAGUGUGUGUGUUAGUGGAAGCGUCUGGAAAGGCGCGCGAUACAGGGUGACAGCCCCGUACACAAAAAUGCACAUACUGUGAGCUCGAUGAGUAGGGCGGGACACGUGGUAUCCUGUCUGAAUAUGGGGGGACCAUCCUCCAAGGCUAAAUACUCCUGACUGACCGAUAGUGAACCAGUACCGUGAGGGAAAGGCGAAAAGAACCCCGGCGAGGGGAGUGAAAAAGAACCUGAAACCGUGUACGUACAAGCAGUGGGAGCCUCUUUUAUGGGGUGACUGCGUACCUUUUGUAUAAUGGGUCAGCGACUUAUAUUCUGUAGCAAGGUUAACCGAAUAGGGGAGCCGAAGGGAAACCGAGUCUUAACCGGGCGUUAAGUUGCAGGGUAUAGACCCGAAACCCGGUGAUCUAGCCAUGGGCAGGUUGAAGGUUGGGUAACACUAACUGGAGGACCGAACCGACUAAUGUUGAAAAAUUAGCGGAUGACUUGUGGCUGGGGGUGAAAGGCCAAUCAAACCGGGAGAUAGCUGGUUCUCCCCGAAAGCUAUUUAGGUAGCGCCUCGUGAAUUCAUCUCCGGGGGUAGAGCACUGUUUCGGCAAGGGGGUCAUCCCGACUUACCAACCCGAUGCAAACUGCGAAUACCGGAGAAUGUUAUCACGGGAGACACACGGCGGGUGCUAACGUCCGUCGUGAAGAGGGAAACAACCCAGACCGCCAGCUAAGGUCCCAAAGUCAUGGUAAUGGGAAACGAUGUGGGAAGGCCCAGACAGCCAGGAUGUUGGCUUAGAAGCAGCCAUCAUUUAAAGAAAGCGUAAUAGCUCACUGGUCGAGUCGGCCUGCGCGGAAGAUGUAACGGGGCUAAACCAUGCACCGAAGCUGCGGCAGCGACACUGUGUGUUGUUGGGUAGGGGAGCGUUCUGUAAGCCUGUGAAGGUGUACUGUGAGGUAUGCUGGAGGUAUCAGAAGUGCGAAUGCUGACAUAAGUAACGAUAAAGCGGGUGAAAAGCCCGCUCGCCGGAAGACCAAGGGUUCCUGUCCAACGUUAAUCGGGGCAGGGUGAGUCGACCCCUAAGGCGAGGCCGAAAGGCGUAGUCGAUGGGAAACAGGUUAAUAUUCCUGUACUUGGUGUUACUGCGAAGGGGGGACGGAGAAGGCUAUGUUGGCCGGGCGACGGUUGUCCCGGUUUAAGCGUGUAGGCUGGUUUUCUAGGCAAAUCCGGAAAAUCAAGGCUGAGGCGUGAUGACGAGGCACUACGGUGCUGAAGCAACAAAUGCCCUGCUUCCAGGAAAAGCCUCUAAGCAUCAGGUAACAUCAAAUCGUACCCCAAACCGACACAGGUGGUCAGGUAGAGAAUACCAAGGCGCUUGAGAGAACUCGGGUGAAGGAACUAGGCAAAAUGGUGCCGUAACUUCGGGAGAAGGCACGCUGAUAUGUAGGUGAAGUCCCUCGCGGAUGGAGCUGAAAUCAGUCGAAGAUACCAGCUGGCUGCAACUGUUUAUUAAAAACACAGCACUGUGCAAACACGAAAGUGGACGUAUACGGUGUGACGCCUGCCCGGUGCCGGAAGGUUAAUUGAUGGGGUCAGCGCAAGCGAAGCUCUUGAUCGAAGCCCCGGUAAACGGCGGCCGUAACUAUAACGGUCCUAAGGUAGCGAAAUUCCUUGUCGGGUAAGUUCCGACCUGCACGAAUGGCGUAAUGAUGGCCAGGCUGUCUCCACCCGAGACUCAGUGAAAUUGAACUCGCUGUGAAGAUGCAGUGUACCCGCGGCAAGACGGAAAGACCCCGUGAACCUUUACUAUAGCUUGACACUGAACAUUGAGCCUUGAUGUGUAGGAUAGGUGGGAGGCUUUGAAGUGUGGACGCCAGUCUGCAUGGAGCCGACCUUGAAAUACCACCCUUUAAUGUUUGAUGUUCUAACGUGGACCCGUGAUCCGGGUUGCGGACAGUGUCUGGUGGGUAGUUUGACUGGGGCGGUCUCCUCCUAAAGAGUAACGGAGGAGCACGAAGGUUGGCUAAUCCUGGUCGGACAUCAGGAGGUUAGUGCAAUGGCAUAAGCCAGCUUGACUGCGAGCGUGACGGCGCGAGCAGGUGCGAAAGCAGGUCAUAGUGAUCCGGUGGUUCUGAAUGGAAGGGCCAUCGCUCAACGGAUAAAAGGUACUCCGGGGAUAACAGGCUGAUACCGCCCAAGAGUUCAUAUCGACGGCGGUGUUUGGCACCUCGAUGUCGGCUCAUCACAUCCUGGGGCUGAAGUAGGUCCCAAGGGUAUGGCUGUUCGCCAUUUAAAGUGGUACGCGAGCUGGGUUUAGAACGUCGUGAGACAGUUCGGUCCCUAUCUGCCGUGGGCGCUGGAGAACUGAGGGGGGCUGCUCCUAGUACGAGAGGACCGGAGUGGACGCAUCACUGGUGUUCGGGUUGUCAUGCCAAUGGCACUGCCCGGUAGCUAAAUGCGGAAGAGAUAAGUGCUGAAAGCAUCUAAGCACGAAACUUGCCCCGAGAUGAGUUCUCCCUGACCCUUUAAGGGUCCUGAAGGAACGUUGAAGACGACGACGUUGAUAGGCCGGGUGUGUAAGCGCAGCGAUGCGUUGAGCUAACCGGUACUAAUGAACCGUGAGGCUUAACCUU